rnacentral:lncRNA from 1 species
UUUCUUUUCGGAAUUACGGAGGACUUGUCUUAUAGUGGCUGAUUUGGUCAUGGUGUGUGGCAUUGGGACAAAAACAUCUUAAAUCAAGAGAUUAAGUAUAUUUACCAACUGGGCUAUGACUAUGGAUAUAACAAAUGAUUCUUGGAUACUAUACAUCAAGGAAUGGGAACCAGUUUGUGUGGCACCCUUCGGGCUGUACACCGGCGUGGACCGCAGCAGGAUGUUUUUGUCCCGGUGCCAUGCACCAUGACUGGAUCGGCCACUGUGGGAGGGCUCCUCUGUGGCUCCGGGAGGAGGGUUGCUCCGAGGAGACCACCGGCACUUUUUGGCUCGCU